rnacentral:lncRNA from 1 species
UUUUUUUUUUUUUUUUGGUCUUUGAAAAGUAGUUAUUUUUUAUCAGUUGCCAAGUUUCCUCUCUGGGAUUUCUGUCAUUUUAUAUAUAUAUAGAAUAAAAACCACAUGCAUGUGAUUAUCAUGACCUGAAUAGACCUUUUUUCAAGUCUCCUUUCAUAGCUCUCACUGGGCUAGGGAUUGCUUAUUUGACUUGUUUUAUUCCAUUAAUAGAUUUGAAUUAUCCAACUUAUAUUUGUAUGUCUUUUCAUCAUUUAUAAGCAAAAGGCUUUUACUUAAGAAAUAAAAUGAGCGUAUUACUUAGUUUUGGUCAAAUUGCAUUUGAAUAGAUUAGGUAGGCUUUUUUUUAUGGCUCCCACCCAGGAUGAACCCUAUACUUUGAUAUGAUUAGGCUGUAUGAAAUAUAUAGUUCAUAUUCCAUACCCCUCAAAAAUAUUACGGCUGCAGGGAAGAAAAAAGCCACUAGGUUGGAAGUCCUGCAGAAAUGUCUUUACAUCUAUGCUGAAUGAUGUGAUUGACGCUUGUUUCUUUUCUUUCUUUCUUUCUUUUUAUUUUCAUUUCUUUUAGCCAUCACUGGUGCAAGCUAUAUUUAAUGGUGAUCCAGAUGAAGUCCGAGCACUAAUAUUUAAGAAAGAAGAUGUUAACUUUCAGGUAAAGCAAUUGAUUCACUUACACCAACCUUUUUAUCCUCCUUUUAAAAACCAAAAAAAAGAACAAAAAACCUUUUCUAAUAUUGUGAUUUUGUUUGGUAGCUUUUUAUGUUUUGGUUUAAAAGCAUAUUUUUUGUUUAAACAUAUGCUUUUGUUUUGUUGCUGGUUUCAUUUAAAAGCAUAAUUCUGCAACAGUUGUUUUUAGAGAAGGCAGGAGAGUCUCACUUGAGACCAAUAGGGGUAGUCUGGACGUGUGUGUGUGUGUGUGUGUGUGUGUCUCCAAUGUAUAUGUCAUACAUUUAUGUGUAUAUAUCAUACACACACAUAUAAAUCUGUCUGAAAACCCAUAAUUCCUGGAAGCAGGUUGAUAGGUUUGUGUUCUCUGAAUUUUUUGCUUUGAAAUUUUCAAACAUAGGAAUGUCAAAAAAAGCCACUCUAAGACCGUUGUAUCUCUAAGACUGUUGUAUAUCCUUGCUUUGGUUCAGCAUUGAUAGUGUUUUGUUAUUUACUCUCAUUCAUCGGGGCGGGGGCGGGGCGGGGGAGGAGCGUGAGCGCACAUAAACACGGUUUUCUGUUGCUGAAUCACAUUUUGACAGUAAAUUGCAAAUAUGACAUUUCAUAAAUUUUUUUAGAUAUGGGGGUUCUUUUAAAACUUAAGAGAAAAGAUUUCUAUGAUUUUAAAAUGUACCUAACUUGAUUAUGAGAGCAGAUAUGAUUUCUGUACAUAACUGUGGUGAGAGUUUUACAAAGAAUUCAUAUUGUUGUGAAUCUACCAUACAGAGUGAUGGGCUUCAUUAAUGACAUUUUGUUUCCUGUUCUUCCCAUCCCUUCUCAAACAGUCUUUAAAUUUCUGUGUGCCAUGUUUGUGUAAUUCUAUACAGGUAGGUAGGUAGGUAGAUAGACACAAAGACUCUUGAUUUCUGAUUAGACUCAAUUACAAGGACUAAAAUGCUGGAAAGUGUAGAAAGAGGAUGUGUGUGUGUGUGUGUGUGUGUGUGUGUGUGUGUGUGUGUGUGUGUGUGUGUGUGUGUUUGUGUAUGGUGGUAUGAAAAUAAUUUUUUUUCUCUCUCUCUGUAUAGGAUUGUUUGUUCUUGUUUUAUAGCUAAAGCUGAUCUUUUUUAACUUACUAAACUUGCCUAAAGAAUAUAAUUUGAGACAAAAUAAUUUCAUUAAUUUAUAAGUAUUUUCUGGGAACAAAUGUUUCUCUGAGCUAAGGAUGGAUGAAAAGUCUCAUGACUCCUGAAGCUGCUAUAACAACACCUAGAUGUUCUAGAAUUUUUUUUGUAAUUAUAAGAAAGUUUGUAUUAUAAGCACAUCUUGAACACUGGUAUUUGUUUUUUACUUUCACUGACUAAGUGUGACCACUUAAUGUUGAUAGACACUUAAAAAGUUUACCACUUUUAAAAAUUCUGGUUAUGUGAAUAGGUUUUCAUCGUUGGCUAAAAUGGUUGAUUUCUAAGAACAUGGAGUAUAGACCUAGAGAUUACGGUCAGAACUUUUUUUUCCUGAACCUUUUCUAAGUAAAUGGCUUCUCGGUUUAUAUUUAGUUGGAGAAGCAUGCACCUAACUCAGGAUGUAUUUAUCUUAAAUGAAGUGCAUGAUUCACUUUGCCUAAUUAGGCUGUCUUAGCAAGUCUACUUUUCCUAGUGCAGAAAAUAGUUGUAGGGUGUAGAUGUGUGAGCAGAAGGGAGACAGACAUACACUAUUUUGUUUGUUUUUUAAUGCUUGACUUAGAGUAGUCUAAUUGCCAUGGCUAAUUUCUUCAUCUUUACAAAGCUUGUAGCUGCCAUUGCUUCUCUGCUUUAUUUAAUAAAGAUACCUU